rnacentral:rRNA from 1 species
GGCGUGCCUAAUACAUGCAAGUUGAGCGAUGAAGAUUGGUGCUUGCACCAAUUUGAAGAGCAGCGAACGGGUGAGUAACGCGUGGGGAAUCUGCCUUUGAGCGGGGGACAACAUUUGGAAACGAAUGCUAAUACCGCAUAACAACUUUAAACAUAAGUUUUAAGUUUGAAAGAUGCAAUUGCAUCACUCAAAGAUGAUCCCGCGUUGUAUUAGCUAGUUGGUGAGGUAAAGGCUCACCAAGGCGAUGAUACAUAGCCGACCUGAGAGGGUGAUCGGCCACAUUGGGACUGAGACACGGCCCAAACUCCUACGGGAGGCAGCAGUAGGGAAUCUUCGGCAAUGGACGAAAGUCUGACCGAGCAACGCCGCGUGAGUGAAGAAGGUUUUCGGAUCGUAAAACUCUGUUGGUAGAGAAGAACGUUGGUGAGAGUGGAAAGCUCAUCAAGUGACGGUAACUACCCAGAAAGGGACGGCUAACUACGUGCCAGCAGCCGCGGUAAUACGUAGGUCCCGAGCGUUGUCCGGAUUUAUUGGGCGUAAAGCGAGCGCAGGUGGUUUAUUAAGUCUGGUGUAAAAGGCAGUGGCUCAACCAUUGUAUGCAUUGGAAACUGGUAGACUUGAGUGCAGGAGAGGAGAGUGGAAUUCCAUGUGUAGCGGUGAAAUGCGUAGAUAUAUGGAGGAACACCGGUGGCGAAAGCGGCUCUCUGGCCUGUAACUGACACUGAGGCUCGAAAGCGUGGGGAGCAAACAGGAUUAGAUACCCUGGUAGUCCACGCCGUAAACGAUGAGUGCUAGAUGUAGGGAGCUAUAAGUUCUCUGUAUCGCAGCUAACGCAAUAAGCACUCCGCCUGGGGAGUACGACCGCAAGGUUGAAACUCAAAGGAAUUGACGGGGGGCCCCC